AGAGGGUUUUCCCCUCUGCUGCUAGCACUCCGAGAAAAGAAACUCCGCAUUGCAGGAUACCUAAUCACACACGGUGCGAAUCUUCAUGUAUGUGAUGAACAACAAAGAACACCACUCAUGUAUGCAGUUAAAUGGGAUUGUAAAUAUAUUGUUCAAAUUUUACUGAAGAGAGGUGUUGAUCACCACGCAAAGGACAAAUUUGUAUGGAGUGCACUGCAAUAUGUCAUUGUGGGGAAACACAAAGU